AUUGAACGCUGGCGGCACGCCUUACACAUGCAAGUCGAACGGCAGCGGGGACUUCGGUCCGCCGGCUAGUGGCGAACGGGUGAGUAAUGUAUCGGAACGUACCAUUCAGUGGGGGAUAACUAUCCGAAAGGAUAGCUAAUACCGCAUAUUCUGUGAGCAGGAAAGCAGGGCAUCGCAAGAACGUGCGCUGGAUGAGCUGCCGAUAUCAGAUUAGCUAGUUGGUGAGGUAAAGGCUCACCAAGGCGACGAUCUGUAGCGGGUCUGAGAGGUUGAUCCGCCACACUGAAACUGAGACACGGUCCAGACUCCUACGGGAGGCAGCAGUUGGGAAUUUUGGACAAUGGGGGUAACCCUGAACCAGCCAUGCCGCGUGGGUGAAGAAGGCCUUCGGGUUGUAAAGCUCUUUCGGCCGGGAAAAAAUCGCAUGGGUUAAUACCCUGUGUGGAUGAUGGUACCGGAAUAAGAAGCACCGGCUAACUACGUGCCAGCCGCCGCGGUAAUAC
rnacentral:rRNA from 1 species